rnacentral:rRNA from 1 species
GUCUACAGCCGUACCACCCUGAACAUGCCCGAUCGUGUCUGAUCUCAGAAGCUAAUCAGGGUCGGGCCUGGUUAGUACUUGGAUGGGAGAUUAUUUAGUUUUAGAGCUGCAGGAU